rnacentral:misc_RNA from 1 species
GGAUGAAGAACGUAGCGAAAUGCGAUAAGUAGUGUGAAUUGCAGAAUUCAGUGAAUCAUCGAAUCUUUGAACGCACAUUGCGCCCUUUGGUAUUCCAAAGGGCAUGCCUGUUCGAGCGUCAUUUGUACCCUCAAGCUUUGCUUGGUGUUGGGCGUCUUGUCUCUAGCUUUGCUGGAGACUCGCCUUAAAGUAAUUGGCAGCCGGCCUACUGGUUUCGGAGCGCAGCACAAGUCGCACUCUCUAUCAGCAAAGGUCUAGCAUCCAUUAAGCCUUUUUUUCAACUUUUGACCUCGGAUCAGGUAGGGAUACCCGCUGAACUUAAGCAUAUCAAUAAGCGGAGGA